GUAGCAAAGGUACCAUAAUCACUUGUCUCUUAAUUGGAGACUAGUAUGAAUGGCACCACGAGGGUUCAACUGUCUCUUAUUCCUAAUCAGUGAAAUUGACCUUCCCAUGCAGAGGCAGGAAUAAUUAUACAAGACGAGAAGACCCUGUGGAGCUUAAGUCGUAUAACUCAACAAAUACCAAUAUUUAACCUAUCGGAACAACCUGUAUAAGUCCCUGAGUUAUAGUCUUUGGUUGGGGUGACCUUGGAGCAUAAAACAACCUCCGAAUGAGUAUAACCCAGAUUAACAAAUCUAAGUGUAAUAAUACCAGUAAUUGACCCAUAUUUUGAUCAAUGAAACAAGUUACCCCAGGGAUAACAGUGCAAUCCUAUUUGAGAGCCCAUAUCGAAAAUAGGGUUUAUGACCUCAAUGUUGGAUCAGGACAUCCAAAUGGUGCAACCGCUAUUAAAGGUUCGUUUGUUCAACGAUUAAAGUCAUUUUGUGAUCUGAGUUCAGACAGGAGAAAUCCAGGUCGGUUUCUAUAUGUAAAUUCAUUUCUCCCAGUACGA
rnacentral:ncRNA from 1 species